AACCUAAACUUCUACCCCAUUCCUCAGCCGCCACUCUUCUCUCCGUUUUAUUACUCCUUUCUUCCACAAUAGCGUUAAUUUAAAGUUGCAAGAACAAAGAGGAGUAAGAGGGGUGCUCAAGAAAGCAAUGCCUUUGAGAAAUUUCAAUCUCUUCUAAUGCCAAAUAUAUAGUGAUUACGGAGAGUGCUUCAUUAUUCUUGGAUGCAUGAAGAUCAAGCGCGACGAGGGUGGCGACAUGAAUCAUCAAGCAAAUACUUAUGUUCAUUUAAUAUGAAAUUUUGUACUUUAUUUUUUAUCUCUAUUACAAUCAAGCCUCACAUUUGCUAGUUAUUUUCUUCAAGUUAUAGUUAUUGUAGAAGACUUCUCUACUGCAUAUGCUAUUAAUUCAUUAGUACUGGAUUUUGGAAUUUAUUUUAUGAAUUUUUUUAAAUGCCAA